rnacentral:lncRNA from 1 species
CUCCUCCCCCUUCUCUCAGACCUAACAGAUGGUGCCCUGUGACUCGGCGGCAGGUGAGAGACUAUAAUUUUCUCAGUUUUGUUUUAUAGUCCCCUGCUGAUCAAACUUCUUCACUUCUACAGUCACAAAUCCACUACAACCCUGUCUGACACACGUACAUUCACCAGUAAAGUUGUCCUGGCUAAAACACCUGGCAUCAGUGUCUACCUGGGCAUCAACCUUCAUCCCGUGAAACUCCCCUAGACCCCCAAUACAGCGCCCUCAGCCAGCAGGAAGUAGUUACAGAGAGAGAUCUUCGCCCCUUUUCCUAAUAACCAUAAGACGGGAUAUGAAAGAGUUGC